rnacentral:rRNA from 1 species
UAUUGUUAGGUGACUGCGUACCUUUUGUAUAAUGGGUCAGCGACUUAUAUUCAGUGGCGAGCUUAACCGAAUAGGGGAGGCGUAGCGAAAGCGAGUCUUAAUAGGGCGUUUAGUCGCUGGGUAUAGACCCGAAACCGGGCGAUCUAUCCAUGGGCAGGUUGAAGGUUAGGUAACACUGACUGGAGGACCGAACCGACUACCGUUGAAAAGUUAGCGGAUGACCUGUGGAUCGGAGUGAAAGGCUAAUCAAGCUCGGAGAUAGCUGGUUCUCCUCGAAAGCUAUUUAGGUAGCGCCUCAUGUAUCACUGUAGGGGGUAGAGCACUGUUUCGGCUAGGGGGUCAUCCCGACUUACCAAACCGAUGCAAACUCCGAAUACCUACAAGUGCCGAGCAUGGGAGACACACGGCGGGUGCUAACGUCCGUCGUGAAAAGGGAAACAACCCAGACCGUCAGCUAAGGUCCCAAAGUCAUGGUUAAGUGGGAAACGAUGUGGGAAGGCUUAGACAGCUAGGAGGUUGGCUUAGAAGCAGCCACCCUUUAAAGAAAGCGUAAUAGCUCACUAGUCGAGUCGGCCUGCGCGGAAGAUGUAACGGGGCUCAAACCAUGCACCGAAGCUACGGGUAUCACCUUUUGGUGAUGCGGUAGAGGAGCGUUCUGUAAGCCUGUGAAGGUGAGUUGAGAAGCUUGCUGGAGGUAUCAGAAGUGCGAAUGCUGACAUGAGUAACGACAAUGCGAGUGAAAAACUCGCACGCCGAAAGACCAAGGUUUCCUGCGCAACGUUAAUCGACGCAGGGUUAGUCGGUCCCUAAGGCGAGGCUGAAAAGCGUAGUCGAUGGAAAACAGGUUAAUAUUCCUGUACUUCCAGUUAUUGCGAUGGAGGGACGGAGAAGGUUAGGCCAGCCUGGCGUUGGUUGUCCAGGUUUAAGGUGGUAGGCUGGAAUCUUAGGCAAAUCCGGGAUUCUAAGGCCGAGAGCUGAUGACGAGUUGCCUUUAGGCGACGAAGUGGUUGAUACCAUGCUUCCAAGAAAAGCUCCUAAGCUUCAGAUAACUGGGAACCGUACCCCAAACCGACACAGGUGGUUAGGUAGAGAAUACCAAGGCGCUUGAGAGAACUCGGGUGAAGGAACUAGGCAAAAUGGCACCGUAACUUCGGGAGAAGGUGCGCCGGCGAGGGUCAAGGACUUGCUCCGUAAGCCCAUGCCGGUCGAAGAUACCAGGCCGCUGCGACUGUUUAUUAAAAACACAGCACUCUGCAAACACGAAAGUGGACGUAUAGGGUGUGACGCCUGCCCGGUGCCGGAAGGUUAAUUGAUGGGGUUAGCGCAAGCGAAGCUCUUGAUCGAAGCCCCGGUAAACGGCGGCCGUAACUAUAACGGUCCUAAGGUAGCGAAAUUCCUUGUCGGGUAAGUUCCGACCUGCACGAAUGGCGUAACGAUGGCGGCGCUGUCUCCACCCGAGACUCAGUGAAAUUGAAAUCGCUGUGAAGAUGCAGUGUAUCCGCGGCUAGACGGAAAGACCCCGUGAACCUUUACUAUAGCUUUGCACUGGACUUUGAAUUUGCUUGUGUAGGAUAGGUGGGAGGCUUUGAAGUGGGGACGCCAGUUCUCAUGGAGCCAUCCUUGAAAUACCACCCUGGCAACUUUGAGGUUCUAACUCAGGUCCGUUAUCCGGAUCGAGGACAGUGUAUGGUGGGUAGUUUGACUGGGGCGGUCUCCUCCCAAAGAGUAACGGAGGAGUACGAAGGUGCGCUCAGACCGGUCGGAAAUCGGUCGUAGAGUAUAAAGGCAAAAGCGCGCUUGACUGCGAGACACACACGUCGAGCAGGUACGAAAGUAGGUCUUAGUGAUCCGGUGGUUCUGUAUGGAAGGGCCAUCGCUCAACGGAUAAAAGGUACUCCGGGGAUAACAGGCUGAUACCGCCCAAGAGUUCAUAUCGACGGCGGUGUUUGGCACCUCGAUGUCGGCUCAUCACAUCCUGGGGCUGAAGCCGGUCCCAAGGGUAUGGCUGUUCGCCAUUUAAAGUGGUACGCGAGCUGGGUUUAGAACGUCGUGAGACAGUUCGGUCCCUAUCUGCCGUGGACGUUUGAGAUUUGAGAGGGGCUGCUCCUAGUACGAGAGGACCGGAGUGGACGAACCUCUGGUGUUCCGGUUGUCACGCCAGUGGCAUUGCCGGGUAGCUAUGUUCGGAAGAGAUAACCGCUGAAAGCAUCUAAGCGGGAAACUUGCCUCAAGAUGAGAUCUCACUGGGAUCUUGAAUCCCCUAAAGGGCCGUCGAAGACUACGACGUUGAUAGGUUGGGUGUGUAAGCGCUGUGAGGCGUUGAGCUAACCAAUACUAAUUGCCCGUGAGGCUUGACCAUAUAACACCCAAGCAAUUUGCU